rnacentral:tRNA from 5 species
AGGGCUAUAGCCAAGCGGUAAGGCAUCGGAUUUUGAUUCCGUGACUCGCAGGUUCGAAUCCUGCUAGCCCUGCCA